GGCGUGAGUGGAAAGGAGAAAGGCUAUCAUUGUUUGGAUGGGGAGUCACCUUCCGUAAUUACGAUAGGUACUAACUGUUCUGGCGUUCCUUCCCUUGCUCGUUUUACACCACUGACACCUGGUUGAGGCUCACUGGACCUCUUCUUCACAAAAAAUUUGUCUAUUGAGACUUGCUGUUGCCUAUGUUUUAAAAUGUGUCUGAAGUGAGACAUAGCAUUAUCAUUGAACAUGUUUGUGGCAUGACUUACAGCAGCUUUAUCAUGGUGAUAUUGUUCAACAAAAUAUUGCACUUCAACCCACUUCACACACAUUUCUUUGAUCAAUGCACUAUGAAGAUUUUCCUCUAGAGACAAUUCAUCAGAUGCCCUCUUUUGCUGCUCCCUCUGAAGGUCUUGGAGUUCUUCUGUGGUGAGUUCGUUCUGGUGAUCCUCCACUAACUCCUCCACAUCUUCAUCAUUCACCUCCAAGCCCAUUGAUCUCCCUAGAGACACAAUUUCCUAAACAAGAAGAGCAUCCUGUUCAAACCCCUGAUAGACUGUUUCAGGGAGAGCCUCUGGCCACAAUUUCCUCCAGGCUGAGUUCACAGUCCUAUAAGACACAUCCCCCCAAGCUUUAUCUAUGAGGUGUAAACAAUGUAGGAUAUUAAAAUGAUUUUCUUUACUCUAUUUGAAGACUGAAUGCAACUGCAUUUCAAGACUGAAUUGAACUCUAUUUGAAGACUGAAUGGAGCUGUGCUAACUGAAUGGAGUUCUUCUGACUGGAUGGACCUCUGCUGACUGGAUGGAGCUCUGCUGACUGAAUGUCGCUUUUGCUGGCAGAAUGGAGCUCUAUUUGAAGACUGAAUGAAGCUGUUUGCUGCUAGAAUGGAGCUUUUGCUGGCAGAAUGGAGCUGUGCUGCUGACAGGAUGGAAUGGUGAUGCGCUAUACUAACGAGGUACCAACGGGUUUACCAACAAGAUUACCAUAGAGGUGAAUGCUGCGUAACAACGUGAUGUGUUCGGGUACCGAGGAUCAAUCGCGUACCGAGACAUUUUUCACUCAAAAUUUUUGUUUGAAUACCGAAUUGGUCGUGAACAGGAACUUUCAAGUUCCGAGGUUCCACUGUAUUUGACUGGUGCAGCGGACAAACAUUAACAAUCUAAUCAUAACAAUUACUACUCCAUCACUCUGAAUCUCAAUGUUAAGAAUGGAUUAUAUGCAAUAUAAUAUAAAUAAAGCCAUAUUAAAACA